rnacentral:rRNA from 1 species
UACGUAGGUGGCAAGCGUUGUCCGGAUUUACUGGGCGUAAAGGGCGUGCAGGCGGUCUGUUAAGUCUAGGGUGAAAGCUCCCGGCUCAACUGGGAGAGGUCCUUGGAUACUGGCGGACCUGAGGGAGGCAGAGGAAAGUGGAAUUCCCGGUGUAGUGGUGAUAUGCGUAGAUAUCGGGAGGAACACCAGUGGCGAAGGCGGCGACCUGGGUCGAUACUGACGCUGAGGUGCGAAAGCGUGGGGAGCAAACAGG